rnacentral:rRNA from 1 species
CAAUAGCGUAUAUUAAAGUUGUUGCAGUUAAAAGGCUCGUAGUUGGAUUUCUGGUGGGAGCGAUCGGUCUGGCGCUUAGCGCGAGUACUUGCAUCGUCUCCGGCCAUCCUUGGGGAGAGUCUGUCUGGCAUUAGGUUGUCGGGCAGAGGAUCCUCAUCGUUUACUGUGAAAAAAUUAGAGUGUUCAAAGCAGGCUUAUGCCGUUGAAUAUGUUAGCAUGGAAUAAUAAGAUAGGACUUUGGUACUAUUUUGUUGGUUUGCGCACCAAAGUAAUGAUUAAUAGGGACAGUUGGGGGUAUUCGUAUUCCGUUGUCAGAGGUGAAAUUCUUGGAUUUACGGAAGACGAACUACUGCGAAAGCAUUUACCAAGGAUGUUUUCAUUAA